rnacentral:rRNA from 1 species
CCUACGGGUGGCAGCAGUCGAGAAUCAUUCACAAUGGGGGAAACCCUGAUGGUGCGACGCCGCGUGGGGGAAUGAAGGUCUUCGGAUUGUAAACCCCUGUCAUGUGGGAGCAAAUUAAAAAGAUAGUACCACAAGAGGAAGAGACGGCUCACUCUGUGCCAGCAGCCGCGGCAAUCCAGAGGUCUCAAGCGUUGUUCGGAAUCACUGGGCGUAAAGUGUGCGUAGGCUGUUUCGUAAGUCGUGUGUGAAAGGGGCGGGCGGAGCCCGGGGACGGCACAAGAUAAUGCGGGACUAGAGGAAAGGAGGGGGAAGCGGAAUUCGCGGUGUAGCAGGGAAAUGCGUAGA